UACGGGGGGAGCAAGCGUUGUUCGGAUUUACUGGGCGUAAGGGGCGGGUAGGCGGCCACUGCAAGUCGGUUGUGAAAUCUCCGGGCUUAACCCGGAAAGGUCAAUCGAUACUGCAGGGCUAGAGUGCAGAAGGGGCAACUGGAAUUCUCGGUGUAGCGGUGAAAUGCGUAGAUAUCGAGAGGAACACCUGCGGCGAAGGCGGGUUGCUGGGCUGACACUGACGCUGAACUGCGAAAGCUAGGGGAGCGAACGGG
rnacentral:rRNA from 1 species